rnacentral:lncRNA from 1 species
GAUUACUUCUCUCUUCUCUUGCAUAUUGUAUAUAGACUCAUUGAAAUAGUUGCAUGUUAUGCCUUAGGAGGUUGCGCGAGUUAAAAAGUCAUGUAGUUGUAAAUUAUCAAUUGCCAAAAUAAACAUUAGAUUGAAUUCAAUACUUCCUCAUUGCGAAAGUGUUAUAAAUUAUAAUUAAUAAUUUUUAAACUUAAGAAGUAAGUGAUAAAGUGAGCCGUGUUCGAUAACUUCCGACAUGUUAACUUUUUGUGUUCUGGGGUGUAGGACUGGGUACCCAGAGCCUAAAAAAUAGAAAAAUAAGAGUGAAGCUUCAUCUACAAGCACAAAAUGCGCUCUCCAUUUAUUUCCCAAAGAUGAAGAUUUGAAGAAACUGUGGUUGAGAGCAAUACCUCGAGAAGAUUUUUUUCCCUCCAAGCAUUCUACAGAUUGCAGUCGCCAUUUCUAUGAAGCUUCCUUCCAACUGAAGAAAAAUGACUCAAACGUGUCUAGAUUUAAAAACAAAUCAACUACUUCAAUGAAAAUAUCUAUCCUUAAACCUGAGGCAGUCCCUACUAUUUUCCCCGAAGCACCCAGUUAUCUAUCCGUACUUCCCACUCCUAAAAGAAAGACUUCCUUAGCUCUGUCUAUCAACAGAUGUGUGAAAGAAAGAAAAAGUGUUGAAGCCACUAAAUCUGCAUUUAUUGAUUCUGAUAUAAUUGCUCGUUUUGAAGCAAUCCAGGAAAAAAUUGAUAGAUCAUGAUUGGUUCAUGGAAUUCACGAGAACUUUAUUCAAGAUUAUGCAACAUUUUUUGCUAUUUCAAGCGAAAAUGUGAUACCUAAAAUUAUUUAUGGGCUCUAAAUCACAAAAGAUUUAUUUUAUACUAUGUUUUCCGAUGGUGCUCCAGCUCUGUUUAAAGAAGUCAAUCAUAUUUGCUCAUCUGCCUUCAUUCAACGAUUCUCUGAUAUAAACAACAUUCUGGCCUAUUUGAAGAAUAGAUAUGUCCAAUCUUCCAUAUCAAACAUAUCCAUUGCAAAAGCUCUUUUGGAAUCUACAUUAGAAGAAUCUAGUCAUAAUGACCAUAUUAACUUCAUCAUUGAACAACUUCACCUACAUUUGAGUUGUAUUAAAGAUAAAAGGUAUUCUUCUAGACUUCUUGAAAUAUCUACAUUAUGGCAAAACAUCCCUCCUUAUAUAAUAAAUUCUUGAAUCAGAAUGGAUUAUUUUGCCUAGUGUGAGCCAUUUAAAAAAAACUAUCAAGUGCCUUUAAUGUUGAUGAAGGAAUUUACUCUUUUACUCCCAAAUACCUCUCUACUAGAAUUGAAUUUAUUGGAAGAAAAAAGAAUAAAAUUCAUACUACUUCAUAAAUUCAACUCCGACCCGAUUGAUCGUAGAUUUGGAUGGUACAAGCAGCUUGGGGGUAGAAAUUACAAUAUCAGUUGUCGCCAGUUCUUAGAAACGGAGAAGAAAGUUCGACUGUCUCAACUACUAAGAACGGAAAUAGUAUCAUUAUGCUACUUGAAAGAAGUGUUGCCAUCCAACAAAGUCGAAAGUCCUGAAUUAAAAAAAGGAUAUCAAUAAAAUUUUAACAGUUAUACCUUCGGAUUGUUUUUUUGGGUCUAUAUUUUCCUUCUAGAUACCAAAAUUUGAAUUACUUCUUGAGUGGUUUCGCAGCUCAUUCUAUAAGUAGAAAGUUACAUACAGAAUGAAGCAAAAUUUUACUUUCAACAACCGGUAAAAUUAAGUUUGAUGUAGAAAAAGAUGAUAUAGAUGUUAGCGUAUUUUUUAACUGCAUAAAUAGAGGUGGCCUCAAAAGACCAAGUGAUAUUAUGUUUUUAUUGUGUAGUCAUGUCUAUCAACUUUUUUACUACAGCUUUAAUAGUGAAGAAAUACUUAGUUCUCUAAUGGCAAAGUGUCAUCUUCUAUCUAUUUUUAUAUAAGCCGACGGAGAACUAUUUUUUUCUUCAAUGAAUUUGACUUGGCUAAAUACUUUUUGUUGUGUUGACAAAACAAUUUAUUGGUUCAUUUUUUCCUAAUAUAUGUUCUUUUUUUUUUUUUACUAUGCUCAGUAAAAACUUUGUUUGUGAUUCUAAUAACAAGAUUAAUUGUAAUAGAAAAAGAAAUUCAUAUUCUAAACAAUCAAAUAAAAAGAUAAAAAAAUUAAAAUCUGAAUAAUAAAUAUUUGAAAAUACUAAAUAUGUUGUUUUUAUUCAGAGAUAUGUUGGUACUAUAAGAUUGUUCUUCUAAAUCUCAGAAGUAUGUGAAUAUUAUUACUGAAAAGUGAAUACUGAUAAAUGGGAACAUGAGCAAAUACUUUUCCUUCCUUUAGUACGUACAAAAAACAAGG